rnacentral:rRNA from 1 species
UACGGAGGGGGCGAGCGUUAUUCGGAAUUAUUGGGCGUAAAGGGCGCGUAGGCGGCUAGGUAAGUCAAAGGUGAAAGCCCUCGGCUCAACCAAGGAAGUGCAUCCGAAACUGCUGAGCUUGAGUACUUAAGAGGAUCGCGGAAUUCCCGGUGUAGAGGUGAAAUUCGUAGAUAUCGGGAGGAACACCAGUGGCGAAGGCGGCGAUCUGGGUCGAUACUGACGCUGAGGUGCGAAAGCGUGGGGAGCAAACAGG